GCUAGCAUAGUAUAGUGAUCUGAGCAUUGGAUUAUGGCUCCAGAGGCCAAGGUUCAAGUCCCUGCUUAGCC